rnacentral:rRNA from 1 species
GAUGAACGCUGGCGGCUUGCCUAAUACCUGCAAGUCGAGCGACGCGGGGACGGGUGAGUACCACGUGUAUAACCUCCCAUAUGCCUGGGAUAACUUCGGGAAACCGGUGCUAAACCCGCUACUUUUCGCUGGCUCCGCGCUGCAUUAGCUUGUUUGUAAGGUAACGGCUUACAAAGGCCACGAGGCAUAGCCGAGCUGAGAGGGUGAUCGGCCACACUGGAACUGAGACACGGUCCAGACUCAUACGGGAGGCAGCAGUAGGGAAUCUUCCGCAAUGGGCGCAAGCCUGACGGAGCAACGCCGCGUGAGUGAAGAAGGGCUGCGGAUCGUAAAACGCUGUUAGGAGGGAAGCGGUACCUAAUCAGAAAGCCACGGCUAACGACGUGCCAGCAGCCGCGGUAAUAC